UUGGGGCGGCGGUUGGCGGGGCGGGCAUGGCCCGGCGGCUCUGGAGGGGGCUGCUGGCGCUGGAGGCGGCCGGGCUGCUCGGCGCCCUCCUGCUCUACCGCGCCAUGGAGCGCAGCCAAGAUUUCAGAUAUACAAUGCAGAAGAGGUUUCCGUCGAUUCUAGAAGUGUAUUACAAAUCCAAUGAGUGGUCUGGAAUUCACGGCAUAAGGGAGAAUGACCAAAUUACAUGGCUAAGCAGCAAGAACUGAAGUAAGAAAGGCCUCUGUGCCUGAACUGUUUCUUCCUUUUAAUGAUGCUUUUCGCAUCCCUGUUGUGAAGCCACUUGUCACGCUCUAUUUCCCACUGGAUCUGUUUGACAUCUGUAAGAGGAAAGAUGAGAAAUGAGGAGCUGAUGGAUACCUCUGAUCAUGAUGGAAAUACAAAUGAAUCACAUAAAAGUUAAAACUUGGCUACUGUAUUUAUAAAUGUUAAUAAAGUGCAAAUCUUUUUUUUGA